rnacentral:rRNA from 1 species
AGAGUUUGAUCCUGGCUCAGGAUGAACGCUGGCGGCGUGCCUAAUACAUGCAAGUCGAGCGAACAGACGAGGAGCUUGCUUCUCUGACGUUAGCGGCGGACGGGUGAGUAACACGUGGAUAACCUACCUAUAAGACUGGGAUAACUUCGGGAAACCGGAGCUAAUACCGGAUAAUAUAUUGAACCGCAUGGUUCAAUAGUGAAAGACGGUUUUGCUGUCACUUAUAGAUGGAUCCGCGCCGCAUUAGCUAGUUGGUAAGGUAACGGCUUACCAAGGCAACGAUGCGUAGCCGACCUGAGAGGGUGAUCGGCCACACUGGAACUGAGACACGGUCCAGUUUCCUACGGGAGGCAGCAGUAGGGAAUCUUCCGCAAUGGGCGAAAGCCUGACGGAGCAACGCCGCGUGAGUGAUGAAGGUCUUCGGAUCGUAAAACUCUGUUAUUAGGGAAGAACAAAUGUGUAAGUAAUUAUGCACGUCUUGACGGUACCUAAUCAGAAAGCCACGGCUAACUACGUGCCAGCAGCCGCGGUAAUACGUAGGUGGCAAGCGUUAUCCGGAAUUAUUGGGCGUAAGGCGCGCGUAGGCGGUUUUUUAAGUCUGAUGUGAAAGCCCACGGCUCAACCGUGGAGGGUCAUUGGAAACUGGAAAACUUGAGUGCAGAAGAGGAAAGUGGAAUUCCAUGUGUAGCGGUGAAAUGCGCAGAGAUAUGGAGGAACGCCAGUGGCGAAGGCGACUUUCUGGUCUGUAACUGACGCUGAUGUGCGAAAGCGUGGGGAUCAAACAGGAUUAGAUACCCUGGUAGUCUACGCCGUAAAC